rnacentral:rRNA from 1 species
UACGGGGGGAGCAAGCGUUGUUCGGAUUUACUGGGCGUAAAGGGCGCGUAGGCGGCCACCGCAAGUCGGUUGUGAAAUCUCUGGGCUUAACCCAGAAAGGUCAACCGAUACUGCGGGGCUAGAGUGCAGAAGGGGCAACUGGAAUUCUCGGUGUAGCGGUGAAAUGCGUAGAUAUCGAGAGGAACGCCUGCGGCGAAGGCGGGUUGCUGGGCUGACACUGACGCUGAAGCGCGAAAGCUAGGGGAGCGAACGGG